rnacentral:rRNA from 1 species
GACGUAGGGCGCGAGCGUUGUCCGGAUUUAUUGGGCGUAAAGGGCUCGUAGGCGGUUUGUCGCGUCGGGAGUGAAAACCCAGGGCUUAACCCUGGGCUGGCUUUCGAUACGGGCAGACUAGAGGUAUGCAGGGGAGAACGGAAUUCCUGGUGUAGCGGUGAAAUGCGCAGAUAUCAGGAGGAACACCGGUGGCGAAGGCGGUUCUCUGGGCAUUACCUGACGCUGAGGAGCGAAAGUGUGGGGAGCGAACAGG